rnacentral:rRNA from 1 species
UACGUAGGGCGCAAGCGUUGUCCGGAAUUAUUGGGCGUAAAGAGCUCGUAGGCGGCUUGUCACGUCGGAUGUGAAAGCCCGGGGCUUAACCCCGGGUCUGCAUUCGAUACGGGCAGACUAGAGUGCUGUAGGGGAGACUGGAAUUCCUGGUGUAGCGGUGAAAUGCGCAGAUAUCAGGAGGAACACCGGUGGCGAAGGCGGGUCUCUGGGCAGUAACUGACGCUGAGGAGCGAAAGCGUGGGGGAGCGAACAGG